GAAACGACUGCUAAGACUGGAUAGGAGACAAGAAGGCAUCUUCUUGUUUUUAAAAGACCUAGCAAUAGGUAUGCUUAGGGAGGAGCUUGCGUCACAUUAGUUAGUUGGUGGGGUAAAGGCCUACCAAGACUAUGAUGUGUAGCCGGGCUGAGAGGUUGAACGGCCACAUUGGGACUGAGACACGGCCCAAACUCCUACGGGAGGCAGCAGUAGGGAAUUUUCGGCAAUGGAGGAAACUCUGACCGAGCAACGCCGCGUGAACGAUGAAGUAUUUCGGUACGUAAAGUUCUUUUAUUAGGGAAGAAUAAAUGAUGGAAAAAUCAUUCUGACUGUACCUAAUGAAUAAGCCCCGGCUAACUAUGUGCCAGCAGCCGCGGUAAUACAUAGGGGGUAAGCGUUAUCCGGAAUUAUUGGGCGUAAAGGGUGCGUAGGCGGUUAAAUAAGUUUAUGGUCUAAGUGCAAUGCUCAACAUUGUGAUGCUAUAAAAACUGUUUAGCUAGAGUAAGAUAGAGGCAAGUGGAAUUCCAUGUGUAGUGUAAAAUGCGUAAAUAUAUGGAGGAACACCAGUAGCGAAGGCGGCUUGCUGGGUCUUUACUGACGCUGAGGCACGAAAGCGUGGGGAGCAAACAGGAUUAGAUACCCUGGUAGUCCACGCCGUAAACGAUGAGUACUAAACGUUGGGUAAAACCAGUGUUGAAGUUAACACAUUAAGUACUCCGCCUGAGUAGUACGUACGCAAGUAUGAAACUUAAAGGAAUUGACGGGACUCCGCACAAGCGGUGGAUCAUGUUGUUUAAUCCGAAGGUACCCGAAAAACCUCACCAGGUCUUGACAUGCUUCUGCAAAGCUGUAGAAACACAGUGGAGGUUAUCAGUUGCACAGGUGGUGCAUGGUUGUCGUCAGCUCGUGUCGUGAGAUGUUGGGUUAAGUCCCGCAACGAGCGCAACCCUUAUUGUUAGUUACCAGCACGUAAUGGUGGGGACUUUAGCAAGACUGCCAGUGAUAAAUUGGAGGAAGGUGGGGACGACGUCAAAUCAUCAUGCCCCUUAUGACCUGGGCUACAAACGUGAUACAAUGGCUGUUACAAAGGGUAGCUGAAGCGCAAGUUUUUGGCGAAUCUCAAAAAAACAGUCUCAGUUCGGAUUGAAGUCCGCAACUCGACUUCAUGAAGUUGGAAUCGCUAGUAAUCGCGAAUCAGCAUGUCGCGGUGAAUUCGUUCUCGGGGUUUGUACACACCGCCCGUCA
rnacentral:rRNA from 1 species